rnacentral:lncRNA from 1 species
UGAGUUUGAUUCAGUUAACAGAUUGCAUUCUGGUGCAAGAUGUCCUUUGGUUCUACAUAUUUCACAAUUUACAGCUAUUGCGGUUGUAGGAUUUGCAGACAUGUGUUAAACCUUCAGGGCUAAAGCGUCCAUUUUAGCUUUCAUCAUGUCCAUACAAUUGACCACAUGUAUUCCUCCUUUGGUCUCCCCUUUCUCCACUGAUGCUCGUUCUGACUCUCAUUAGUAA